rnacentral:misc_RNA from 1 species
GAUGAAGAACGCAGCGAAAUGCGAUAAGUAAUGUGAAUUGCAGAAUUCAGUGAAUCAUCGAGUCUUUGAACGCACAUUGCGCCCCCUGGUAUUCCGGGGGGCAUGCCUGUCCGAGCGUCAUUGCUGCCCUCAAGCACGGCUUGUGUGUUGGGCCUCCGUCCUCCUCCCGGGGGACGGGCCCGAAGGGCAGCGGCGGCACCGCGUCCGGUCCUCGAGCGUAUGGGGCUUCGUCACCCGCUCUUGUAGGCCCGGCCGGCGCUUGCCGACACAUCAAUCUUUUUUCCAGGUUGACCUCGGAUCAGGUAGGGAUACCCGCUGAACUUAAGCAUAUCAAUAAGCGGAGGA